GCAUGGGUGGUUCAGUGGCAGAAGUCUUGCCUGCCACGCAGGAGGUCCAGGUUGUUUUCCUGGCCCAUGCA
rnacentral:tRNA from 1 species